UACGUAGGGGGCGAGCGUUGUCCGGAUUUAUUGGGCGUAAAGAGCGUGUAGGCGGCCAAACAGGUCCGUUGUGAAAACUGGAGGCUCAACUUCCAGACGUCGACGGAAACCGUGUGGCUAGAGUCCGGAAGAGGAGAGUGGAAUUCCUGGUGUAGCGGUGAAAUGCGCAGAUAUCAGGAAGAACACCAAUGGCGAAGGCAGCUCUCUGGGACGGUACUGACGCUGAGACGCGAAAGCGUGGGGAGCGAACAGG
rnacentral:rRNA from 1 species